UUUAGAUUGUUUCUGAACUGGCUUUUGGACCUUGGCUCCCCUGACCUUGUCCUUGAUAGUUCCAACUUUCAGUUGUGGGCAAGUUCACUUUCUGUACAAAGGCAUUCUAAGGGUGCUCUUGGUACUGCUUCAUGAUUUUCCAGAGUUCCUUUGUGAUUAUCAUUUCAGCUUUUGUGAUAUGAUUCCACCCAGUUGCAUUUAAAUGCGGAAUGUUAUUCAAAGUGCAUUCCCACGAAACAUGAGAUUGAUUUGCUGGCUGAAAUCAAGUAAUCACCGGGCAUUCUCUCUGAGAUUGAUGGUGCUCUGAAAGCAAAGCAGAUUAAGGUUGACAUUGAUGAGUAUCUCAAGUUAUCUUGAGUUGUCAUUAUUUUUCUCUACCUAACAUUGAGAAAUUCUCUUAUUUUCAUAUUUACAUAGCAAACCAUGCUAUACUAUUAUAUAAGUGCAUGUUGCCAAAUCAUGUGAAUUUUAAAGUAUUUAGAGCAUGAUUUUACACCAUUCCCUAUGUUGUAGCCCAUGUAAAUCUUAGGAGCAGAUCCAUAACUAAAUCCCAUCUACAUCAUCCCAAGUCCAACGACAUAUCAUAAUCCAACUUCGUAGUAGACAUUCCUCUUAUUCAUAUAGAUCAGCUAAGAUUAGGAUGAAGAAUCUGAUUCAUAUAGAUCUCCCUUUGAAUCAUCAUUUAACACGAAAAUUCUAGUUGAGUGCAGAAAACAUGGCUAGCUAUUCAAAUAAAUGUUUCUCUUGAUUUUCACUUAAACUGCAAAUCAUUUUUUUCAAGUG